rnacentral:lncRNA from 1 species
UGGCCACAGAGCGAGAGAAAUGGAAAAGAAAUCCCUUUUAAGAGCAGUUCAUCUGACAAGUCAUGUCUAAACAAUGUCUGAAUUAAAAUCAGUUUUGAAUAUAAACGAUGCUCCUAUAAGACAAGAAUGUCGAGACGUCUGAAAUAGAUGUAACUAAACUAACUGCACGUGCGAAUAGCUACAAAGGAAGACAUUCUUGUUGGUCAUAUCUCGAAAAUGAAAGCGAAAAAAAUAAUUUGUCUGACCAAAACCGAUGUUCGUAACCUUUAUGGCUAAAGAAAUGGUUGCUAGAUUUAGAAGAAGUUAUCCUUUAAUAAAGAAAGUUAACAGCUAGGUAUGACUGGUGCAAGAAAAGGACUGAGUUAUCUUCAUCCAUAUCUAUAUCUAUUUGGAAACCUUCAAAGGAAGUGCAGCUGGCAGUAUGGUACUAAAUCCGAAUGUUAUAUCAGCAAAUUUUAAAAGGCUUGGUGAUCUGAGUGAAUAAAAUAGGCAUUCAGAAUACACUUAAACGCAUCUUUAAUACUGAUGAGACCGAUAUGAAUAUAAUCUAUGAGGUGUGGAUUUAGUAAAAUUUAAGGAGCUCCUGAAUUAUUGCAUAAUCACUAUAGAAACGGCAAACUUAAGUAAUCACACAAUCAUUUAAAACCCCACGAAGAGACUAAGGCUCAGAUUCAAAAUUAUUUCCUAACACG